CCCUUAGAUGUUCUGGGCCGCACGCGCGCUACACUGAUGCAUUCAACGAGUUUCUUCCUGGUCCGAGAGGAAUGGGUAACCUUUUGAAAGUGCAUCGUGAUAGGGAUAGACUAUUGCAAUUAUUGGUCUUCAACGAGGAAUUCCUAGUAGACGUAGUUCAUCAGACUGCAUCGAUUACGUCCCUGCCCUUUGUACACACCGCCUGUCGCUCCUACCGAUUGAAUGCUCAGGUGAGCCAUUCGGACUUUCAUCAUGCUGGUUUCCAGUUUUGAUGAAGGAAAGUCUUGCGAACCUUAUCAUUUAGAGGAAGGAGAAGUCGUAACA
rnacentral:rRNA from 1 species